ensembl:lncRNA
AGAUUGCUGACAGUUGAAAACCUCCCACCCCACCCAAGAGGCUCCUAGAGGAGGCAUUUGUCCUAGGUUUCAACAAGGACUAGAAAUGUCUUAAGUCUUAAUGUCGAAGGGAAGGGGGCCGAUGCUGGGCGCACUUUCAAUUUAAACAUUCAGGGUCUGGAUGGCUCCAGAGCACACAGUUGGCCUCCCUGAGCCAAGCCUGGUGAUACCUCUGUCUCAGAGCUAACCCAGAAGCCACCAACUCCUGGUGGAGCCAAGGGUGCACAGGAGACGCCCAGUGAUUAGAGGCCCGUGCACACAGAGGCAGUGGUCAGGGGUUCCAGAGGGCACACAGUCCUCCCUCGUUGAGCCUAAGUUUGCUGAUGUCCAUGUCACAGCCCACACCCAGAGGAGGGUACCAGCAAAAGUAGGAAUCUCCUUUAACUUUCUCCAAAAAGCCCAAAUCCACGGGACUCUUGCUUCAUAGAGUCACUCAGAAGCUCAUGAGGGGUCCGGGGAAAGUGGCAAUCCCUGGGAGACAGGACGAUGCAUUCCACCUACCACGGCAGUCUACUGCCGCUGCCAACCACCACUGCCUGCCACCGCUGCCUACCACCACUGCCUGCCACCGCUGCCUACCGUGGCAGUGUACCACCGCUGCCUACCAUCACUGCCUGCCACCACUGCCUGCCACUGCCUACCACCACUGCCUACCAUGGCAGUCUACCACUGCUGCCUACCACUGCUGCCUACCAUGGCAGUCUACCAUCCCUGCCUACCACCACUGCCUACCACCGCUGUCUGCCACCAUUGUCUGCCACUGCUGUCUGCCACCGCUGCCUGCCACUGCUGUCUGAUGCUGAAAGGAGAUGAGAAUCAAACAGAGCGCGGCACAUGGCAGCGCAGGGCGAGUGCCACUCCAUGCAAUGGCCUGUGCUGCCCAGAGUCUACCGAGCCACACAUCGUGCACCUGGCGGGCGGGCUGACCACCCCAUAAGCACAGUGUCACAAAUGCUGACUGCAGUCUUUCUUUCAAACCAGUGAGUGCAGCUCACAAGGCGACCAGCAGUCUUGCCUGGUGAUUGAAGGU